rnacentral:misc_RNA from 1 species
UAGGCUUGACAUGCAUGUGGUCCCUUCCCUUUCGGGUCGGUACCACAUGCAUGUCAAGCCUAGGUAAGGUUCUGCGCGUUGCAUCGAAUUAAACCACACGCUCCGCUGCUUGUGCGGGCCCCCGUCAAUUCCUUUGAGUUUUAGCCUUGCGGCCGUAGUCCCCAGGCGGCAGACUUAAUGCGUUAGCGUCGGCGCCGAGGGGGUCGAUACCCCCGACACCUAGUCUGCAUCGUUUACGGUGUGGACUAC